CUAUCUACAGGCUUAACACAUGCAAGUCGAGGGGCAUCAGGAAGAAAGCUUGCUUUCUUUGCUGGCGACCGGCGCACGGGUGAGUAACACGUAUCCAACCUGCCCUUUACUCGGGGAUAGCCUUUCGAAAGAAAGAUUAAUACCCGAUAGCAUAAUGAUUCCGCAUGGUUUCAUUAUUAAAGGAUUCCGGUAAAGGAUGGGGAUGCGUUCCAUUAGGUUGUUGGUGAGGUAACGGCCCACCAAGCCUUCGAUGGAUAGGGGUUCUGAGAGGAAGGUCCCCCACAUUGGAACUGAGACACGGUCCAAACUCCUACGGGAGGCAGCAGUGAGGAAUAUUGGUCAAUGGGCGCUAGCCUGAACCAGCCAAGUAGCGUGAAGGAUGAAGGCUCUAUGGGUCGUAAACUUCUUUUAUAUAAGAAUAAAGUGCAGUAUGUAUACUGUUUUGUAUGUAUUAUAUGAAUAAGGAUCGGCUAACUCCGUGCCAGCAGCCGCGGUAAUACGGAGGAUCCGAGCGUUAUCCGGAUUUAUUGGGUUUAAAGGGAGCGUAGGUGGACUGGUAAGUCAGUUGUGAAAGUUUGCGGCUCAACCGUAAAAUUGCAGUUGAUACUGUCAGUCUUGAGUACAGUAGAGGUGGGCGGAAUUCGUGGUGUAGCGGUGAAAUGCUUAGAUAUCACGAAGAACUCCGAUUGCGAAGGCAGCUCACUGGACUGCAACUGACACUGAUGCUCGAAAGUGUGGGUAUCAAACAGGAUUAGAUACCCUGGUAGUCCACACAGUAAACGAUGAAUACUCGCUGUUUGCGAUAUACAGUAAGCGGCCAAGCGAAAGCAUUAAGUAUUCCACCUGGGGAGUACGCCGGCAACGGUGAAACUCAAAGGAAUUGACGGGGGCCCGCACAAGCGGAGGAACAUGUGGUUUAAUUCGAUGAUACGCGAGGAACCUUACCCGGGCUUAAAUUGCAGUGGAAUGAUGUGGAAACAUGUCAGUGAGCAAUCACCGCUGUGAAGGUGCUGCAUGGUUGUCGUCAGCUCGUGCCGUGAGGUGUCGGCUUAAGUGCCAUAACGAGCGCAACCCUUAUCUUUAGUUACUAACAGGUUAUGCUGAGGACUCUAGAGAGACUGCCGUCGUAAGAUGUGAGGAAGGUGGGGAUGACGUCAAAUCAGCACGGCCCUUACGUCCGGGGCUACACACGUGUUACAAUGGGGGGUACAGAAGGCAGCUAGCGGGUGACCGUAUGCUAAUCCCAAAAUCCUCUCUCAGUUCGGAUCGAAGUCUGCAACCCGACUUCGUGAAGCUGGAUUCGCUAGCAAUCGCGCAUCAGCCACGGCGCGGUGAAUACGUUCCCGGGCCUUGUACACACCGCCCGUCAAGCCAUGGGAGCCGGGGGUACCUGAAGUACGUAACCGCAAGGAUCGUCCUAGGGUAAAACUGGUGACUGGGGCUAA
rnacentral:rRNA from 1 species